rnacentral:rRNA from 1 species
UACGAAGGGGGCUAGCGUUGCUCGGAAUUACUGGGCGUAAAGGGAGCGUAGGCGGGUCGUCAAGUUGGGGGUGAAAGCCCAGGGCUCAACCUUGGAACUGCCUUCAAAACUGACGAUCUAGAGUAUGGAAGAGGUAAGUGGAACUCCGAGUGUAGAGGUGAAAUUCGUAGAUAUUCGCAAGAACACCAGUGGCGAAGGCGGCUCACUGGCCCGAUACUGACGCUGAGGCACGAAAGCGUGGGGAGCAAACAGG